UACGAAGGGGCUAGCGUUGCUCGGAAUCACUGGGCGUAAAGGCGCGUAGGCGGCCACCGCAAGUCGGUUGUGAAAUCUCUGGCUUAACCCAGAAAGGUCAACCGAUACUGCGGGGCUAGAGUGCAGAAGGGGCAACUGGAAUUCUCGGUGUAGCGGUGAAAUGCGUAGAUAUCGAGAGGAACACCUGCGGCGAAGGCGGGUUGCUGGGCUGACACUGACGCUGAAGCGCGAAAGCUAGGGGAGCAAACGGG
rnacentral:rRNA from 1 species